UACGGGAGGCAGCAGUGGGGAAUAUUGCACAAUGGGCGAAAGCCUGAUGCAGCUAUGCCGCGUGUAUGAAGAAGGCCUUAGGGUUGUAAAGUACUUUCAUCGGGGAGGAAAAACAAAACUAAUAAUUUUAUUUCUUGACGUUACCCGAAAAAGAAGCACCGGCUAACUCCGUGCCAGCAGCCGCGGUAAUACGGAGGGUGCUAGCGUUAAUCAGAAUUACUGGGCGUAAAGAGCACGUAGGUGGUUUUUUUAAGUCAGAUGUGAAGUCCCUGGGCUUAACCUAGGAACUGCAUUUUGAAACUGAAAUACUAGAGUAUCGUAGAGGGAGGUAGAAUUCUAGGUGUAGCGGUGAAAUGCGUAGAUAUCUGGAGGAAUACCUGUGGCGAAAGCGGCCUCCUAAACGAAUACUGACACUGAGGUGCGAAAGCGUGGGGAGCAAACAGGGAUUAGAUACC
rnacentral:rRNA from 1 species